AGAAUCAACGCUGGCGGCGUGCCUAACACAUGCAAGUCGAACGAGAAAGUGGAGCAAUCCAUGAGUAAAGUGGCGACCGGGUGAGUAACACGUGACUAACCUACCCUACAGUGGGGGAUAACUCCGGGAAACCGGGGCUAAUACCGCAUAACAUCGUAAGAUCAAAGGAGCAAUUCGCUGAAGGAGGGGGUCGCGGCUGAUUAGUUAGUUGGUGAGGUAACGGCUCACCAAGACGAAGAUCAGUAGCCGGCCUGAGAGGGCGCACGGCCACACUGGAACUGAAACACGGUCCAGACUCCUACGGGAGGCAGCAGUGGGGAAUUUUGCGCAAUGGGGGAAACCCUGACGCAGCAACGCCGCGUGGAGGAUGAAGUCCCUUGGGAUGUAAACUCCUUUCGAUCGGGACGAUUAUGACGGUACCGGAAGAAGAAGCACCGGCUAACUCUGCGCCAGCAGCCG
rnacentral:rRNA from 1 species